rnacentral:piRNA from 1 species
UCCUCUCAGAGAGUGAUGAGCUCCAGGAC